CCUACGGGUGGCAGCAGUAGGGAAUAUUGGUUAAUGGGCGAAAGCCUGAACCAGCAACGCCGCGUGCACGAUGACGGCCUUCGGGUUGUAAAGUGCUUUUUGGAGGGAAGAGGAAGGACGGUACCUCCAGAAUAAGUCUCGGCUAACUACGUGCCAGCAGCCGCGGUAACACGUAGGAGACAAGCGUUAUUCGGAUUUACUGGGCGUAAAGCGCGUGCAGGCGGUCUGACAAGUUGGAUGUGAAAGCUCCUGGCUUAACUGGGAGAGGUCGUUCAAAACUAUCAGACUAGAGAGUGGUAGAGGAAGGCGGAAUUCCGGGUGUAGUGGUGAAAUGCGUAGAUAUCCGGAGGAACACCAGUGGCGAAAGCGGCCUUCUGGACCAAUUCUGACGCUCAGACGCGAAAGCUAGGGUAGCGAACGGGAUUAGAUACCCCUGUAGUC
rnacentral:rRNA from 1 species